AAUUCUAUAGGGGUGGGCAGCCUAUGAAAGGGGUCCUUUCGUCCGUCACAUAGUAUUCUUUGAGAAUGGAAUGUGGCGUCGUCUGUUCACAAAAAAAUCUUCGACUGGUUACACCAGGUUGCUAAGUCUGUUUCAUCUGUUCCACACGAGACAUCAACGUACGCUGUACAGAUUGAUGCGGGGAUAUCUUGGCAUGAAUAUCAUUCCAGUCAGAAGCCACUUACUUCAUACCUGUCACUAUGAAUGUACACAGACACUGACAACCGGCAAAUUUUCCCGCCACUUCGAGGAAGGAUCCACUUAAAAGGGCAUCAGUUGAUGAAUCGAAUCUUUAUUCGUUAAUAUAUAGAUUUUUAGAAAUUAAUCGUAGCACAUCCAACUGAUUAUUAAAAAUGUGACUCGGCAAUAGAAUUGCCAAUUUACAUUUUUAAUAAUCGAUCGGUUGGAGAUGAAUCUUUAAUUCAUUAACUUGUAUCUCGGGGAUCUCAAGAGAUAGCUACAGAGAAUGAAAGUUACUAUAUUCACAUUUUUUAUUUUUCAAACGAAAGAAAGAAUGAAGGGGAAAAUGUGAACUUUUAUCUAUUGGAACAGAAUGAAGGGGAAAAUAUGAACUUUUAUCUAUUGGAACAGCUCCACAAAUUUUAAGAUGGCUGCGCUCUCCGAUUCAGAUAUUACAUGUGGAUAAGUACUUUUAUUUCGUUUUGAAUAUUUUCAUUUUGGAAGAUUUAUUUUAUUUACAACAUUUUUUGAUCGGUGCUCUUCCUAUUUUAUUUCGCUAAUCUAAAUAUUUACCUUAUUAAUUUUGUAAGUAGAAAGAAAACGAAACGUCUGAAGC
rnacentral:lncRNA from 1 species